rnacentral:rRNA from 1 species
UACGGAGGGUGCAAGCGUUAUCCGGAAUCACUGGGUUUAAAGGGUGCGUAGGCGGUUCGAUAAGUCAGAGGUGAAAGCUAGCAGCUUAACUGUUAAAUUGCCUUUGAUACUGUUGGACUUGAAUCAGGUUGAGGUAGGCGGAAUGUGACAUGAAGCGGUGAAAUGCAUAGAUAUGUCAUAGAACACCAAUUGCGUAGGCAGCUUGCUGGGCCUGCAUUGACGCUGAGGCACGAAAGCGUGGGGAUCAAACAGG